rnacentral:rRNA from 1 species
GACGAACGCUGGCGGCGUGCUUAACACAUGCAAGUCGAACGGAAAGGCCUCUUUCGGGGGGUACUCGAGUGGCGAACGGGUGAGUAACACGUGAGUAACCUGCCCUUGACUUUGGGAUAACUUCAGGAAACUGGGGCUAAUACCGGAUAGGAGCUCCUGCUGCAUGGUGGGGGUUGGAAAGUUUCGGCGGUUGGGGAUGGACUCGCGGCUUAUCAGCUUGUUGGUGGGGUAGUGGCUUACCAAGGCUUUGAUGGGUAGCCGGCCUGAGAGGGUGACCGGCCACAUUGGGACUGAGAUACGGCCCAGACUCCUACGGGAGGCAGCAGUGGGGAAUAUUGCACAAUGGGUGGAAGCCUGAUGCAGCAACGCCGUGUGCGGGAUGGCGGCCUUCGGGUUGUAAACCGCUUUCGCUCAUGACGAAGCUUUGUGUGACGGUAGUGGGUAAAGAAGCACCGGCUAACUACGUG